UCGGGAUGUAGCUCAGUUUGGUAGAGCGCCUGGUUUGGGACCAGGAAGUCGCAUGUUCGAGUCGUGUCAUCCCGAU
rnacentral:tRNA from 1 species